AUGGCGACUGCGACGGACCAUCAGGAAAGUCUGCUGCGCAUGGACUCUGAGACCUCGGUGCAAAUGGGUGAGGAGUUGCCUCCGAUGGAUGAAGGAACCACUCUCAGCAUGGAUGGAAGUGGCACUGUCUCCCUAGAUGAAGGAGGAACCUUCUGCAUUGAUGAAGCGGGCACUGUCCACACAGAGCUCAGCCCUGUUGCACCUUCUAUUGACAGGAAUGUUGUCAUCAAUGAAGAAGAACAGCAGCUUGUGCUUCAAUCAGAUGCAAUGACUACCAAGACUAGACAUAGAAAGGGCAAAGGGCUAGAGAGGAUCACCAAGUCGCUUGGUAGCAAGGUGCAUAUCCAAAUUGCCGAAGGGUUGAAGCGUCCAGAGAAGCCUCUGCAGUCAGCAAAGCUUGCUUCUAAGUGUGGACUCGUUGCAAGAAGCCAUCUUCCGGUUCUUUCUCACUUCAAGCUAUACAAAAAAAAUGCUAGUCUAUUGGAGAACUACAUUGGAAAAGUUGUUGUAAGCUACUUGUUUCAUAGUUAA
rnacentral:rRNA from 1 species